rnacentral:tRNA from 1 species
GCCUGGCUGGCUCAGUCAGUGGAAUAUGUGACUUUUGAUCUCGGGGUUGUGGGUUUGAGCCCCACGUUGGGUG